rnacentral:rRNA from 1 species
AGUGAACGCUGGCGGCAGGCCUAACACAUGCAAGUCGAACGGCAGCACGGCAGUAGCAAUACUGUGGGUGGCGAGUGGCGGACGGGUGAGGAAUACAUCGGGAUCUACCCUGUUGUGGGGGAUAACGUAGGGAAACUUACGCUAAUACCGCAUAAGAACUGAGGUUGAAAGCGGCGGACCGCAAGGCGUCGCGCGAUUGGAUGAACCGAUGUCCGAUUAGCUAGUUGGCGGGGUAAAGGCCCACCAAGGCGACGAUCGGUAGCUGGUCUGAGAGGACGACCAGCCACACUGGAACUGAGACACGGUCCAGACUCCUACGGGAGGCAGCAGUGGGGAAUAUUGGACAAUGGGCGCAAGCCUGAUCCAGCCAUGCCGCGUGGGUGAAGAAGGCCUUC